rnacentral:rRNA from 1 species
UACGAAGGGGGCUAGCGUUGUUCGGAAUUACUGGGCGUAAAGCGCGCGCAGGCGGCUAUCCAAGUCAGUGGUGAAAGCCCGGAGCUCAACUCCGGAACUGCCAUUGAAACUGUUUAGCUUGAGGACGAGAGAGGUGAGUGGAAUUCCCAGUGUAGAGGUGAAAUUCGUAGAUAUUGGGAAGAACACCGGUGGCGAAGGCGGCUCACUGGCUCGUUUCUGACGCUCAGGCGCGAUAGCGUGGGGAGCGAACAGG